CAAGCAAUAGGUUUUAAAAUCUUGGAGCCGUCUUCCCAAUACCCCCUUGGCUUGAGCCUCAAGUGCCAUCUUACUUUAAGGGUUUUUCUUGAUGAUCCCAUCUGAACAAGGCAGGAGUUGCCCUAGGUGAGUCACAGAGCCCUAGGAUUCCUCACGGAAAUCUCCAGGGUGCGUGGACUAGGACCCUGGAGGCAGAAAUAGUUACCAAGGGGAAGUUACAGGCCUGAGUGUGAGUCCCUGUUUGGUUGCUGAUGGGCUCUGAGGUCCUUGGCCAGACACUCUACCACUUUGAACCUCAGUUUCUUCAUCUGUAGAUGAGUGUAACAGUCUAGAACACUCCUCUCAGGGAUCAUAUCUACAAGUGCUCGUGCUGUGCGAGGAUCUCACUGGUUGUUUAUUGAAAGGCUAAGCAAGUAGGUUGAGGCCCCUGGGAAGCAGGGGUGGAUCCUGUGUCACCAGGGCUGCCCCUUACCCUAAACCUUGGCCCCGACAACCCACCCACCUGCCCAGCAGUGCUGAUCUGGGACGAUGCCCGGGAGGGCAAGGACUCCAAGGAGAAGCUGGUGCUGGAGUUCACCUUCACCAAGCCAGUGCUUUCUGUGCGCAUGCGCCAUGACAAGAUCGUGAUCGUGCUGAAGAACCGCAUCUAUGUGUACUCCUUCCCCGACAAUCCCCGAAAGCUGUUUGAGUUUGAUACCCGGGACAACCCCAAGGGUGAGAGGGCUCAGAUACACAGGUGUAAGG
rnacentral:sRNA from 1 species